GACGGAAGGUGCAAGCGUUGCUCGGAAUCACUGGGCGUAAAGGGUGCGUAGGCGGCUGUGCAAGUCUGGCGUGAAAGCCCCGGGCUCAGCCCGGGAAGUGCGCUCGAAACUGCACGGCUCGAGUGCCGGAGGGGAGAGUGGAAUUCCUGGCGUAGCGGUGAAAUGCGUAGAUAUCAGGAGGAAUACCGGUGGCGAAAGCGACUCUCUGGACGGCAACUGACGCUGAGGCACGAAAGCGUGGGGAGCGAACAGG
rnacentral:rRNA from 1 species